GGCUCAGAUUGAACGCUGGCGGCAUGCCUUACACAUGCAAGUCGAACGGCAGCACGGGAGCAAUCCUGGUGGCGAGUGGCGAACGGGUGAGUAAUAUAUCGGAACGUGCCCGGUCGUGGGGGAUAACGUAGCGAAAGCUACGCUAAUACCGCAUACGAUCUAAGGAUGAAAGCGGGGGAUCGCAAGACCUCGCGCGAUUGGAGCGGCCGAUAUCAGAUUAGGUAGUUGGUGAGGUAAAGGCUCACCAAGCCAACGAUCUGUAGCUGGUCUGAGAGGACGACCAGCCACACUGGAACUGAGACACGGUCCAGACUCCUACGGGAGGCAGCAGUGGGGAAUUUUGGACAAUGGACGCAAGUCUGAUCCAGCCAUUCCGCGUGCAGGAUGAAGGCCCUCGGGUUGUAAACUGCUUUUAUACAGGAAGAAACACUCCGACGUGUCGGAGCUUGACGGUACUGUAAGAAUAAGGAUCGGCUAACUCCGUG
rnacentral:rRNA from 1 species